UGUUGUAAGAGGCGUCGGGGCUGUUGCUGUUCCCGUGGGGGUUAUUGUUAUCAUUGUCGCCAUGAAUUGAAAGAAAAGGAAAUUAUCACGAUUAGUUACGUGGACUCAGCUAACUGAGCUUUACCUUUUCAGGAACCAGAUGAAGAGGCAUAAAGAAGAGUUAUACUGAGUUUGGUUUAUAUGCUGUUGUGUUAAUUAGAUUAUUUUCUUCCC